rnacentral:rRNA from 1 species
GACGAACGCUGGCGGCGUGCUUAACACAUGCAAGUCGAACGGAAAGGCCCUGCUUUUGUGGGGUGCUCGAGUGGCGAACGGGUGAGUAACACGUGAGUAACCUGCCCUUGACUUUGGGAUAACUUCAGGAAACUGGGGCUAAUACCGGAUAGGAGCUCCUGCUGCAUGGUGGGGGUUGGAAAGUUUCGGCGGUUGGGGAUGGACUCGCGGCUUAUCAGCUUGUUGGUGGGGUAGUGGCUUACCAAGGCAUUGACGGGUAGCCGGCCUGAGAGGGUGACCGGCCACAUUGGGACUGAGAGACGGCCCAGACUCCUACGGGAGGCAGCAGGCGGGAAUAUUGCACAAUGGGCGGAAGCCUGAUGCAGAAACGCCGCGUGCGGGAUGACGGCCUUCGGGUUGUAAACCGCUUUCGCCUGUGACGAAGCGUGAGUGACGGUAAUGGGUAAAGAAGCACCGGCUAACUACGUG